UACGUAGGGUGCGAGCGUUAAUCGGAAUUACUGGGCGUAAAGCGUGCGCAGGCGGUCCGCAAAGUCUGAUGUGAAAGCCCCGGGCUCAACCUGGGAACUGCAUUGGAAACUAACGGGCUCGAGUGUGGCAGAGGGGGGUGGAAUUCCACGUGUAGCAGUGAAAUGCGUGGAGAUGUGGAGGAACACCGAUGGCGAAGGCAGCCCCCUGGGCUAACACUGACGCUCAGGCACGAAAGCGUGGGGAGCAAACAGG
rnacentral:rRNA from 1 species